rnacentral:ribozyme from 13 species
UUUUUUUUUUUUUUUUUUUUUUUUUUUUUUUUUUUGGCGGCUGGGGUCAGUACAACAAUCACAGAAAG